rnacentral:rRNA from 1 species
UACGGAGGAUCCAAGCGUUAUCCGGAUUUAUUGGGUUUAAAGGGUGCGUAGGCGGAUUGAUAAGUUAGAGGUGAAAUGUCCGAGCUUAACUCGGGAACUGCCUCUAAUACUGUUGAUCUAGAGAGUAGUUGCGGUAGGCGGAAUGUAUGGUGUAGCGGUGAAAUGCUUAGAGAUCAUACAGAACACCGAUUGCGAAGGCAGCUUACCAAUCUAUAUCUGACGUUGAGGCACGAAAGCGUGGGGAGCAAACAGG